UGGCCCGCCACGUUCUGACCAUUGUUCCAACCAGCCAGCUAACCUGUCCUCGGAACAAUCCAGUGCACCAAUUAAGAUCGUAACGAGUCCCUACAGCGUAGCGGCUAAUUAGAAUGCCUCUGAGACUCUUCCACAUUGGAACCAUUUGAACGGUUUUCUGCUAUACCGAUUAUAGCUUGGCAUAUUGGAUUAAGGUAACACGUUAUACCAGAAGAAUGAUUCAGUUGAUAAAUUUUAAUUCCGUGAACCAGUUUAAAGAUAUUCAUUUAAGGUUAAUAAUGCUUAUUAUCCUUCGCAUAAAUCGUGGGAUAAAAACAAAAGUCAAUCAGCCAGGAACGAAAUCGAAAAUUCCUCUACCAUUGGGAAAUUUUACCAAUUCUCGAUGCAACCGCAGAGAGAGAAAGAAAUUGUUUUCAAGGAGUCAUUGCCGGGUAAUCCUCCGACGUUCCUCCGACUAUCUUGGGGUUCGAUUCACAAGUGCGGGAUUUCCUCGGCGGGAUGCGCGUGCUACGUGUCGGAAAUGAUUAACGCGACCAUGUAUGGAUCUCUAUCUGUUAUUUACCCUUUGCCCGCCCUCCUCCGAUAAAUUAUAGCCCUUCCAUUCCUCCUCCAUGUAAGUAUUCGGCCGAUUGAAUAUUUCCCUCUCUUCUAAAUUCGUAGUAAUCGUGCAAAUGAUUUUUAAUUACGUUUUUUCGAUGUUACGUACGAGCAAGUUGAAG